AGCUUGCUCCUGGCGGCGAGUGGCGGACGGGUGAGUAAUGCGUAGGAAUCUACCUUGUAGUGGGGGAUAACCUGGGGAAACUCGGGCUAAUACCGCAUAAUCUCUUUGGAGCAAAGCGNGGGAUCUUCGGACCUCGUGCUAUAAGAUGAGCCUACGUCGGAUUAGCUUGUUGGUGGGGUAAUGGCCUACCAAGGCGACGAUCCGUAGCUGGUCUGAGAGGACGAUCAGCCACACUGGGACUGAGACACGGCCCAGACUCCUACGGGAGGCAGCAGUGGGGAAUAUUGGACAAUGGGGGAAACCCUGAUCCAGCAAUGCCGCGUGUGUGAAGAAGGCCUUCGGGUUGUAAAGCACUUUCGGUGGGGAAGAAAUUCUCAAGGGUAAUAUCCUUGGGCGUUGACGUUACCCACAGAAGAAGCACUGGCUAACUCUGUGCCAGCAGCCGCGGUAAUACAGAGAGUGCAAGCUUUAAUCGGAAUCACUGGGCGUAAAGCGCGCGUAGGUGGAUAUCUAAGUCGGAUGUGAAAGCCCUGGGCUUAACCUGGGAAUUGCACCCGAUACUGGGUAUCUUGAGUAUGGUAGAGGGAAGUGGAAUUUCCGGUGUAGCGGUGAAAUGCGUAGAUAUCGGAAAGAACACCAGUGGCGAAGGCGACUUCCUGGACCAAUACUGACACUGAGGCGCGAAA
rnacentral:rRNA from 1 species